UGAAAUGAUCCUUUUAAAGCGGGCUCAAUAUGUCUCAAUCUGCACUUCACUCUAAGCUUUUGGGUAUGGUCUAUGGGACAGAGCCCAGAAAUAUAUUAAUUAAAGCGAGAUGUUGUGUCGAACUCAAAUGUUUCAGACUUUACAGGCUGUGAAGAUAGGCGGCUCAGAGAAGCUGGAACAUCAAGGACUAUGAUGGAGAUUCACGAAAAAAGGAGCGAUCGAUGCCAAGGCUCUACUUUUUUCACCUCGAACCAGUGCCGCGAGCUGCUACGCCCGAUCCCAGCGCCGGGGUCAGUGGGAAUGCGUCUCCGUGCCGAUAUGCUGAUGAGCCAGGCCCCUCCGGUGACCCCCUGUAUGAGCUCCGCCCUUUCUGUGGCAUGCGCAGGCCUCCAAUGUCUCCCGGCGUCCGGGCCUCACUAGCUAACAGCCUUUUACUGCCCUCGCCCACUCCUCCUUUAAUAGGCAGCGUGUGUGGACGCUAAUGGAUGUUGUCAGUGGUGUGUUCUGAAAGCUGAUUUAGAGAAGGAGCCUCACCAGCCUGCUGGCUUCUCUCAGAGAUAACCUGACCGCUGGACUCCCAGGGUGAGCAGAGGGAGAGAGGAAGACAGUUAGCUCACUCAUGCUACAAAUCAAAGUAAUAUCCUUUAAAGACGUAGGGAUGGAUUAAAUGCCACGGUGCUGUGUGGCUGUGUGGAAAGUGAAUUCUGUCCUACAAACAGUCUGAGUGGAUUCGGCUCUACCCUUCCUCCCCCAAUCUCUUAUGUAAAAGCUGGGGAAUUAAUAGAAAGCUUUUUCAUGAGCCAAUGAUUUCAGUGAUCAAAGUGCAAAAAGUAUGCAAAUUAAAAUGUGUCUCAAAGGCUCACUUUUGUAUACUUCUUGAGAUGUGCUGUUUUUAUAACGCUUGAAUAUGAUACCUUAAUAUAUUAUAUAUUCUCUUCACCUGAAUACAGUAAACACAUAAUGAGAUAAAAUGUAUAUUUCUGAACUAUUGUUAUAACGCAUAAUGUGUAUGCUUAUUUUAUUAAUCAUUAUCUCAGGUAGGAAUUAAUUACAUCAAAUUAGAGAUAUAACUUCAAUGUUAUCUGUUUCCUGCCAAUAAAGCAAGAGCAGAUGAUUAUAAUAUGUACAUGAAUCAAACACCUGUGUACACCACAUAUUUUUCAAAUAAAACGUUUUGUAAGAUUCA